UACGGGGGGGGCAAGCGUUGUUCGGAAUUACUGGGCGUAAAGGGCUCGUAGGCGGCCAACUAAGUCGGACGUGAAAUCCCCAGGCUCAACCUGGGAACUGCGUCUGAUACUGGAUGGCUUGAAUCCGGGAGAGGGAUGCAGAAUUCCAGGUGUAGCGGUGAAAUGCGUAGAUAUCUGGAGGAAUACCGGUGGCGAAGGCGGGUUGCUGGGCCGACACUGACGCUGAGGCGCGAAAGCCAGGGGAGCAAACGGG
rnacentral:rRNA from 1 species